rnacentral:guide_RNA from 1 species
AGAAAAUUAAUUUAGUUUUGAUGUAGUGAGUAUAU